ensembl:lncRNA
CGUAUCUGAAAAUAGCCAUCUAAAUCUGUGCUUUUAACUCUUGCUCUAUAAACAGAGAGAAGGUUGUUGGGUAGUGCUGGGUGUGCUCAGAGAGCCCGGACGCUCUGAACUGCAGCCAAUUCAAGAGCUCGAUGGGUGGCAGGACAUGAGUCUUGGCAGGUGCUGGUUUCAGCAGUGUUGUAGCACAGUAUGUGAGCAUCUCUGGGUCACUGCAUUCAGCGCUGGAGAAGAACUGGAAUGAGGGAUUAUGAAGAACUGUUAGUGCUCAUCCAUCCAUUCCCUCCCUCAGGACAUGCACAUUAGAAAGACCUAAGAAAAUCAAACAGCCCCAGGCUCUGGCUCUCAUAAGCCUGAAUCCCAGAGGUCUUUAAAGAAGGAAGAUGUAUGGAUGAAGAAGACAGUGAGAUGGGGAAGUCAAUACUGAGAAUUCAAUGGAAAGUUUACACUAUUUAGUCUGGAGAGAAGCGAUACCUGCAGUUUACAGCUCAUUCUGGGAUUGAAGGGUCACACAUUGUGCAAGAUUGGGCAAAAUACAGACUUCAAAUUCAAACUGUCAAAAAUGCGAAUUCAAACAGUUACAUAAUAGAAGAAUUGAAUUAGUCAAAC